AGAAAAUUGGCGGUGGUGGUGGGGAAUCACCCAAGAUGGAGGGUGGAAGUUGCCUCCUUUAGCCUUCUCCUUGGGAAAGGCAGGAGGGGGCUGGAUACAGCUCACGGGUUGAGGCAGAUGGCCAUAAUAUAUUCUAAAUCCUAGGGGUUGCUUGCAGUCCAGUGGCGUAGCAUGGGUUGUCAGCACCCGGGGCAAGGCAAGUAAUUUGCACCCCCUAACCCGUGGAUUUGCGCCCCCUAACCCUAACCCCCAGAUGUUGCGCCCGGUGCGGCUGGCCCCCC